UCUCUUGGAUGAGCAAAGGAAGUGGUUUCUUGAGAUGGAAACUACCCUCGGUGAAGAUAUUGUGAA
rnacentral:pre_miRNA from 1 species